CAGUAGCCGCGGUAAUACGUAGGUCCCGAGCGCUGUCCGGAUUUAUUGGGCGUAAAGGGAGCGCAGGCGGUUUAGUAAGUCUGAAGUUAAAGGCAUUGGCUCAACCAAUGUAUGCUUUGGAAACUGUUAGACUUGAGUGCAGAAGGGGAGAGUGGAAUUCCAUGUGUAGCGGUGAAAUGCGUAGAUAUAUGGAGGAACACCGGUGGCGAAAGCGGCUCUCUGGUCUGUCACUGACGCUGAGGGGCGAAAGCGUGGGGAGCGAACAGGAUUAGAUACCCCAGUAGUCCCUGUCUCUUAUACA
rnacentral:rRNA from 1 species